GGUAACACUGAAUGGAGGACCGAACCGACUUACGUUGAAAAGUGAGCGGAUGAACUGAGGGUAGCGGAGAAAUUCCAAUCGAACCUGGAGAUAGCUGGUUCUCUCCGAAAUAGCUUUAGGGCUAGCCUCAAGUGAUGAUUAUUGGAGGUAGAGCACUGUUUGGACGAGGGGCCCCUCUCGGGUUACCGAAUUCAGACAAACUCCGAAUGCCAAUUAAUUUAACUUGGGAGUCAGAACAUGGGUGAUAAGGUCCGUGUUCGAAAGGGAAACAGCCCAGACCACCAGCUAAGGUCCCAAAAUAUAUGUUAAGUGGAAAAGGAUGUGGCGUUGCCCAGACAACUAGGAUGUUGGCUUAGAAGCAGCCAUCAUUUAAAGAGUGCGUAAUAGCUCACUAGUCGAGUGACACUGCGCCGAAAAUGUACCGGGGCUAAACAUAUUACCGAAGCUGUGGAUUGUCCUUUGGACAAUGGUAGGAGAGCGUUCUAAGGGCGUUGAAGCAUGAUCGUAAGGACAUGUGGAGCGCUUAGAAGUGAGAAUGCCGGUGUGAGUAGCGAAAGACGGGUGAGAAUCCCGUCCACCGAUUGACUAAGGUUUCCAGAGGAAGGCUCGUCCGCUCUGGGUUAGUCGGGUCCUAAGCUGAGGCCGACAGGCGUAGGCGAUGGAUAACAGGUUGAUAUUCCUGUACCACCUAUA
rnacentral:rRNA from 1 species